UACGUAGGGUGCAAGCGUUGUCCGGAAUUAUUGGGCGUAAAGAGCGUGUAGGCGGUUUGGUAGGUCCGCUGUGAAAACUCGAGGCUCAACCUCGAGACGCCGGUGGAAACCAUCAGACUAGAGUCCGGAAGAGGAGAGUGGGAAUUCCUGGUGUAGCGGUGAAAUGCGCAGAUAUCAGGAAGAACACCCGUGGCUAAGGCGGCUCUCUAGUACGGUACUGACGCUGAGACGCGAAAGCGUGGGGAGCGAACAGG
rnacentral:rRNA from 1 species